GGCUCCAUAGCUCACUGGUUAGAGCAUUGGUCUUGUAAACCAGGCAUUGUGAGUUUGAUCCUCACUGGGGCCU
rfam:Otolemur garnettii contig078712, whole genome shotgun sequence.